AGGCAGAAAAUGGGGAGUUCAGUGGGACACAGAAGAGCUGGGUGGGCUGGCAGUCUUGACAUGAAAUCUAAGGGGCACCUCUCCUACUCUGACUGGGGAGGCCUGUUGCCUUCAAAAGCAGGAGGGCCACUGGACUAGUUGAAUCUGCUGCCCUUUAAUGUGCUUGUUUUACAUUCUGGAAUUUUCAAGGCUAUUGUUUUCUGCUGGGCAAAGCACUUACAAUUAUGUUAAGUGCUUGUUUCAGAUUGUAUUGGUUGAUUUUAUCUUGUUUUAGUAGUCCUUUUUUGUUUUGUUUUUUGUUUGUUUUGAUAUUCCUUUUUAUGUCACCAACAGUGACAUUACUGAGCAGCUAAUAAA